rnacentral:rRNA from 1 species
AUUGAACGCUGGCGGCAUGCCUUACACAUGCAAGUCGAACGGCAGCACGGACUUCGGUCUGGUGGCGAGUGGCGAACGGGUGAGUAAUAUAUCGGAACAUACCCUAGAGUGGGGGAUAACGUAGCGAAAGUUACGCUAAUACCGCAUACGAUCUAAGGAUGAAAGCGGGGGAUCGCAAGACCUCGUGCGCAUGGAGUGGCCGAUAUCUGAUUAGCUAGUUGGUGAGUGAAAGGCUCACCACGGCGACGAUCGGUAGCUGGUGUGAGAGAACGACAAGCCACACUGGAACUGCGACACGGUCCAGACUCCUACGGGAGGCAGCAGUGGGGAAUUUUGGACAAUGGGCGCAAGCCUGAUCCAGCAAUGCCGCGUGAGUGAAGAAGGCCUUCGGGUUGUAAAGCUCUUUUGUCAGGGAAGAAACGGUGAGUCCUAAUACGGCUUGCUAAUGACGGUACCUGAAGAAUAAGCACCGGCUAACUACGUGCCAGCAGCCGCCGUAAAAC